rnacentral:snRNA from 1 species
UUGCUUUGGCAGCAAAUACACUAAAAUUGGAAUGAUAUAAAGAAGAUUAGCAUGGCCCCUGUGCAAGGAUGACAUGCAAAUUUGUGAAGCAUUCCACAUUUUU